CUGCUCUUUUUUUUUCGAUAAAAGGCAAUUAAAAAUAUCUUUCUUGUAGAUUUUUAAACUUUCGGAAAAGCAAUCGUAGAAAAGUGCAAAAAGUUGAUUGUUCAGUUUGAGCUUUUCCAUUCAGGCUCUCCGAGCAUUUGACAAGCCGCGCGAGCUCCGCUGGUAACUCACUGUUUUUCUAAUAUCCAAUCGCGCACCGCUGCGCCAAUCUCUGUUCAUUUCGU
ensembl:ncRNA F54E7.13 ncRNA